CCUGAUUUCAAAGUGGUACUAGUAAGAUCUUGGCUUUAAUCCCUCCCCUUAUCUCUCCUCUUAUCUCUCUCUCUCUCUCUCCUUUCUGAUUUAAAGGGGUGUGCUUGCCCAAUACAUCGUAACAGACUGGUCCGAAAUCGCCCUCCCUAGCAUGCGCGCAUUAGCAAAGCCCAUGAACUAGUGGCACGUUUCACUCAAGCCAGAGUAACAUGGCCUCAUCAGACGUGAGGAACAACGAGGCAUCCGUCUAAGUCCAACUUGUACGAACCAAUGUUUGCUACAAUCGCGGGGUAUAUACCCAAAUUUUCAUGCAGUCAUGCUUAGAUAGCUCGAAGUAUGGGAGGAACCUGAACAUACCAUUGUUGCGAGCUGGGAAACAUUUUACGGAAUGAUUCAAUCAAUGCAGGGAAGGGGCAUGACAAACGACACAUCACAAUCCGUUUCAUCAUCGUCGCCGUCGCCGUCGUCAUCAUCGUCCUCUUCAUUCCUCUUCCUCCACACUGAACUUUGGCAUGUCUAAGACUUUGGGCGAGGGUUCUCCAUUUAUAAAGGGAAACGUUCUGGGACGGGGCACCGGCCGAGUCGCGCGCCGGUCUCACGGGUGCUCGCCACGUGGCAGACUUGGCCCACCAGCCACCGCUCCUCUAUCCCUCAUCCUUUCCUUAUCUCUACAGGAAACACUCUCAGCCAUUUAUUCUUUCCACCACGCAUCGAAUCCCCAUCCCCUUCUCUCUCCUUUUUAGCCUUCUCCGAUGAACUCCACUCGGCCAGCCACCACCACGGGUCAGGGAGGGGGGCGGGGGUGCCAGCAGCCACCAUUUUUUCCAAGCGACGUUGCAAAGGGAGGCCAUGGACUGCUUGCAAAGCCAGGAAAGCCAUGGCCAUCAAUCUCCUCAUCCUCCCCCUCGAUGAGGUCGGACGCCUGUAUCCCGCGAGGCUGGAGAUGGCGCCCACCAUGAGGAGUGGACGGAGGUGCUGGAACCGCCCAGCAGAGGUGCUACGACGGCAUGACGGAGAUGCUACCUCCGUUGCCGGUGAAGAUGCAUCCGUCGACGGCGGCGCUGUGACGACAUGGCGGAGGUGUUGGAACCGGCUGGUAGAGGUGUUGCAUCCGUUGUCGGGGAAGCUGCAUCCCCUGUCGUCAGUGUUGGGUGAGGUGCUGGAACCGCUCGACGGAGGUGUUACAUCCAUGGCUGGUAAAGCUACAUCCACGGCUGGCAAAGCUGCAUCCAUCGCCCAAUUUCGCAUUUUUGUUACUACCGUUUAUUUUUUUGCUGGAACCAUCACAAGUUUUUGCUACCAUCGAUUUUUUGGGUUUGCUUGAACCAGCCCCCAAUUUUGUAAUUUUUGCUACCACCGAUAUUUUAGUUCGCUGGAGCGAGCUUCAUUUUUUUGCUACCACCGGCAUUUUUUGAUUUGCUGGAACAAAGUCCAAUUCGCAUUAUUUGCUACCACUGUAUUUUUUAUUUGCUGGAACCAGUGCCAUUUUUUGCUACAACCGUCUUUUUGGAUGUGAACCAUGGCAUCGCGGUCAUUGAAUCUGCAGGGAGGCAGGCGGGGGGCAGCACCGACGAGGGGUGAGCGGUGACUGUCGACGGCGGGACAUGGCGAGCUUGGAGGCCGGUCGUCCUGCUCGUGGUAAUCGGUGCAGGGUCGCUCGGGGGUAAUCAACGCGGGCCUGGGGCGGCCGUGUCGCUCGGGAAAAAGAGGAAGGCGAGGGACGGGGAAGAAAAGGACGAGGAAGCCAGAUCAAACUGUUAUGCUGUGCUGCAUCGGGCGGCUGGGGCGUUACCGGCCCAACUAUUGGGCCGGCGUGCCGGCGCCUAGUAGUCGCCAUUUAUAAACGCUAAUGACCUAUGGAAUAAUCUAUAUAUGGGUAUUUGCUAGAACGUGUUGCCAAUAACGUUGGUUGACUAGCUGGCUAAAGUUUCAAAUAGUACACUUAACUUCCGGGCUACAGUUGGUCUCUGUGCCAAUAAGUUAAUUAAGUCCAUGAGUGCUAGGAACAAGUAGAGAAGAAAAUGCCCUUAUUCCAAAGGAAGUAAUGCCAAAGAAAAAAUAGAAUAAAGAACUAAAGAAUGAAAUGACACGGUAUCCGAUGACUAAAGUCCAGAUGAUUUCUCCGCUAGGUUAUUGAGUUGGCUACCCUGUUAUUCCACUUGUAGAAAACAGGGCUUUGGUCCGCACAGAAAAGAGCAUUAAUCCCAGCUGCAUUACGAACCGGGACUAGUGUGAGCAUUAGUCCCGGUUCGAGCGGUUAGGACACCGUACAGGCAUUAGUACCGGACCUUUAGUCCCGGUUCGUGCCACGAACCAGUAUUAAUGGGUGCGAUGCCCAUUAUUACCAGUUCGUGGCACCAACCGAUACUAAAGGUUAGACCUUUAGUCUCGGUUGGAGCCACCAACUGAUACUAAUGGGGUUUGAGGCAUUAGUACCGGUUCGUGGCACGAACCGAUACUAAAGGUCCCAUUUUUAAACUCUAC
rnacentral:rRNA from 1 species